UACGUAGGCAGCGAGCGUUGUUCGGAGUUACUGGGCGUAAAGGGUGCGUAGGCGGUUGUUUAAGUUUGGUGUGAAAUCUCCCGGCUUAACUGGGAGGGUGCGCUACAAACUGUCUGACUAGAGUGUGGGAUGGGUAAGUGGAAUUCCUGGUGUAGCGGUGAAAUGCGUAGAUAUCAAGUGGAACACCAGUGGCGAAGGCGAGUCUCUGGACAUUUCCUGACGCUGAGGCACGAAAGCGUGGGUAGCAAACAGG
rnacentral:rRNA from 1 species